rnacentral:rRNA from 1 species
GAUGAACGCUGGCGGCGUGCCUAAUACAUGCAAGUCGAGCGAACAGACGAGGAGCUUGCUCCUCUGACGUUAGCGGCGGACGGGUGAGUAACACGUGGAUAACCUACCUAUAAGACUGGGAUAACUUCGGGAAACCGGAGCUAAUACCGGAUAAUAUAUUGAACCGCAUGGUUCAAUAGUGAAAGACGGUUUUGCUGUCACUUAUAGAUGGAUCCGCGCCGCAUUAGCUAGUUGGUAAGGUAACGGCUUACCAAGGCAACGAUGCGUAGCCGACCUGAGAGGGUGAUCGGCCACACCGGAAAUUAGACACGGUCCAGACUCCGACGGGAGGCAGCAGUAGGGAAUCUUCCGCAAUGGGCGAAAGCUUGACGGAGCAACGCCGCGUGAGUGAUGAAGGUCUUCGGAUCGUAAAACUCUGUUAUUAGGGAAGAACAAAUGUGUAAGUAACUAUGCACGUCUUGACGGUACCUAAUCAGAAAGCCACGGCUAACUACGUG